GAUGAACGCUGGCGGCGUGCCUAAUACAUGCAAGUCGAACGAACAGACGAGGAUCUUGCUCCUCUCUCGUUAGCGGCGCACGUGUGUAUAACACGUGUAUCCUCUACUUAACUGUCUGAUAUCAUCUCGAAACUCCGGAUCUAAUACCAUAUAAUCUCUUGCUCCAUAUUGUUCAAUGGUAAGAGACGGCUUUGCUGGCUCUUCUCGCUGCAUCCGCGCUGCAUUAGCUGGUAGUUAGGGUAACGGCUUAUCACGGCAACGAUGCGUAGCCGACGGGAGAGGGUGAUCGGCGGCACUGGAACUGAGACACGGUCCAGACUCCUACGGGAGGCAGCAGUAGGGAAUCUGCCGCAAUGGGCGAAAGCCUGACGGAGCAACGCCGCGUGAGUGAUGAAGGUCUUCGGAUCGUAAAACUCUGUUAUUAGGGAAGAACAAAUGUGUAAGUAACUAUGCACGUCUUGACGGUACCUGAUCAGAAAGCAACGGCUAACUACGUG
rnacentral:rRNA from 1 species